UUUGUUGAGUUUAAAUUAGUAUCUGGUAAUGGAGAAUUGACAUAUUGAGGCACCUACUGUCAAUUAGAUAGAAAGACUAAUUUACAGCUAGCAAUUAGAUAAAAUGCUUUGUAUAUUAGUUGUAAUUGGUAGAAAAUUGCUCAGUUUCCAUACAUGUACAGUGAUGGCUGACAUUCGGUUGUGUAAUUUGCCUUAUUAGUCCUAUACAUACAAAGGAACCCUCACAAUAAGGAUUAUUGAGUCAAAAGCGGAAAUUGAAUACCUUUGUCAUGGUAUCAGAGCUUCUAGAAGUUUAGAUUAAUUUCCAAUCACCAUCUUCUGCGGUAACCGGAAACUUGUUUGAGAUCCUCACGUUCGGUCAGAAUUUGUUCGUGAAUUUCCAGGCCGAAGGAUUCCUGGUCGGCACUCUCUGUAGCGACUGACUCUUGCUUGGGUCAUCUCUAGUUGGUCGAACCUACCAGCGUCUUUAGCAGUGGCAAGUACGUGGCUUCUGGGUUUCGCAUCUGUCGACGGGUCUAGUUGAGGAAGGAUCUUCGAUCACUUGAAAGGAAUAACAGUAACCCCUAUGUGUUGGGCUACUUAAUCCAUUGUUUAAUUGGGCUGUUGAUUGGGCCAAUCCUAUAGAGUUUAUUUGGGCUCUAAGAUUGGAUUUUAACAAUUAAACUUGGUCUCGGUUUAUGAUUUUGGUGGGCUGAUUCUACUUUGGUUUUGCUGAAUUUAUUUUGGACUUGUUUCCGUUGGUACUUUGGUCUUGCUGAAUUUUAUAUUAGGGCUUUUUUCUAGUAUAAUUAAUUAUGUGCAUCAUGUCAACCAACAUGUCUGAUUCUUUGUGUGCGCUUCACAGGUAAAAAUUAUUUUGUGUGGGAAUUUCAAUUUCGAUUAUUUGUCAUGGGGAAAGAGUUAUGGGUCACAUUAAUGGAAGUGACCCAGCUCCUAUUGAGAAUAUCCAAUUGGGUCAAUGGAAAGUGAAAGAUGCUAGGGUUAUGACAUGGAUUUUAAGAUCCGUUGAUCAUAUGAUUGUCCUAAAUUUAAGUCCUUAUAAGACUAUUAAAGAGAUGUGGGAGUAUUUUUAAAAAAGGUUUACAAUCAAGAUCAUACAGCCAGACGAUUUCAAUUGGAGUAUGAAAUUGCAAAUUAUACUUAGGCCAAUCUCAACAUUCAGGAUUACUUCUCUGGGUUUCAAAGCUUAUGGGGUGAAUUUGUUGACAUUAUCUAUGCUAAAGUACCAACCGAAUCUCUUGCUGUUGUUCAGACUAUUCACGAACAAAGCAAGCGAGAUCAGUUUCUAAUGAAGUUACGUCCGAAAUAUGAGGCAAUUCGCUUAAAUCUAAUGAAUCGUGAUUCGUCCCCUUCUUUGGAUGUCUGUUUUGGGUAGUUGCUUCGUGAAGAGCAUCGUCUUACAACACAGGCCACUCUUCAACAUCAACACAUGACCUCAAAUGCUGUUACUUAUGCAGCUCAUGGGAAAAACAAAGGGAGGGAUAUGAGGAAGGUCCAAUGCUUCAGCUGCAAGGACUAUGGGCAUAUUGCUACUCACCGUGCCAAAAGUACUGCAAUUACGGCAAGAAGUCGGGAUACAUUAUCAAGGAUUGUCCUACUCGACCUCAAAAUCGUCAGGCCAAUGCAUAUCAGGCUACUGCCAGCCUAUCGGCUUCUGAGACAUCCUCUACCACUGCCUAAUUUGCUCUUACUCCUGAAAUAGUGCAACAAAUGGUUGCAUCAUCUUUUUCUACUUUGAAAAUGAAGGUAAAUAUAAUAUUUCGUCUCAAUCUUGGCUAGUUGAUUCAGGUGCCUCAAAUCAUAUGACCAGUUCCUAUGAUGGAUAUUCGCCCAUAUCAAGGCUCAUCUUAUAUUCAAACAACUAAUGGGAGUCAUUUAUCUAUUAAUGCUAUUGGUAACAUUAAUUCUGCUUUUCGAGACAUUUUUAUAUCUCCUGGUUUAUCUACAAAUCUUAUUUCAGUUGGUCAAUUAGUUGAUAAUAAUUAUGAUGUCCAUUUUUCUCGUGAUGGUGUUUUUGUACACGAUCAGGUGUCGGGGAAGAUACUAGCUGCUAAGGGGCAUAAAAUUGGAUGAUUGUUUCCAUUAUACUUUUCUAUUCAUAGUUGCUUAUCUUUGGCCUAUAUAAUCGUUAACAAUAAAAGUGAAGUUUGGCACAAACGUUUGGGCAAUCCAAACUUCACUAUCCUGUCUUAUUUGUUAAACUCUAGUUUGUUGGGUAAUAAAAACAAUUCUUCUCAUAAUUUGUGCUUUCAUUGUUCUACAUGCAAAUUGGGAAAGAGUAAGACUCUUCCUUUUCCUUCUCACAGUGGUCGUGCCAAAAAGAGCUUGGAAAUUGUGCAUAGUAAUGUUUGGAGCGUUUCGAUUGUCACCUCUCGUGCCCAGUAUAAGUAUUUCCUAACUUUUAUUGAUGAUUAUAGUUGAUACACAUGGAUCUAUUUUCUCCGUUUUAAAUCUGAAGUACUUUCAGUCUUCAAGACUUGUGUGGCAUUUUGAGAACCAAUUCUCUAUAUUAAAAUUUUACGAUUUGAUUCAGGUGGAGAAUGUCUCAUGAGUUUCAUGAUUUCUUAAAACAGAAAAGGAUUUUAUCUCAACGAUCAUUCUCUUAUACUCCUCAACAAAAUGAGGUGGCAGAACGAAAGCAUCGUCAUCUACUGGAUGUUGUUCGUACAUUUUUACUUGAUUCCCAUGUUCCUUCAAAAUUCUGGGUUGAAGCAGUGUCCACUAUAGUUUAUUUAAUCAAUAGAUUGCCUCCCAAAUUUUACUCUUUGACUCUCCAUAUUAUCGCCUUCAUAAUCAAAUUCCUGCUUACCAUGAAUUGCAUACUUUUGGAUGCAUUUGUUUUGUUCGUUUAUCUUCUCAUGAAUGAUGCAAGCUUUCUGCACAAUCUGGUAAGUGUGCUUUUAUGAACUACCGUGUUUCGCACGACAAAGGUUAUAUUGCUAUGAUCCAUGUUCUAAUAGAUUUUGUAUUUCUCGUAAUGUUGUUUUCUUUGAGCAACAACCUUUCUUUCAUACUCAUGCUCAACAUUUGCUUGAAAUUAGUAUUCUCCCAAGUUUUGACGAUUUGACUUCUUAUUUUGAAAGAUUUAAGCCCGUACUUGUGUAUAAGAGACGUCGACCAAAUAGGCCUCUUCCUGAAGUUGACCUCACAUCUGAUCUUGUCCAGCCCCUCUUUUCUGAGCCUAAUUUGGUAUCAGAUACUGAUGUACCUUCUGAUCCGGGUCCUUGACGAUCUACCCGUAUUUCUCGACCGCCUGAUAGAUAUGGUUCUUUUCAUUCAUUUCCCACUACGUUGACAUCUAUAUCUCCUAGUUAUUCAGAAGCAGCUAAACAUGAAUGUUGGUGGAAGGCUAUGGAUGAAGAACUUCGGGCACUUCAGGAUAAUCAUACUUGGAAUGUUGUUCCUUGUCCACCUAAUGUCAUGGCUAUUGGUUGUAAUUGGGUAUAUUUUAUUAAGCUUCGUUCUGAUGGAACUCUGGAUCGUUAUAAAGCUCUCCUAGUUGCUCUCGAAAAUAAGCAGGAAUAUGGGGGUAGAUUAUGAUGACACAUUCGCUACAGUAGCCAAGAUGACUACAGUGUGCACUGUUCUUUCUAUUGCCGCCUCUCAGGAGUGGUCUCUUCACCAAAUGAAUGUCGAAAAUGCUUUUCUUUUUGGUGAUAUCAAGGAAGACAUUUAUAUGACACCUCCUCUGGAUCUUUUUUCCUUUUCUUCACAUGUAAGUUGAAGAAGUCUCUUUAUAGGUUGAAACAAGCUCCUUGAGCAUGGUUUAAGAAGUUUCGAUCUACUUUGUUACAGCUUUCUUUUAUCCAGAGCUAGUAUAACUCCUCCCUAUUCUUUUGCAAGACAUUUACUGAUAUUGUUCUUUUACUUGUGUAUGUGAAUGAUAUUGUUAUCACUGGCACGGAUUCUGGGUUGAUCACUCAACUCCAGCAGCAUCUAUAAGCUUCAUUUCACAUGAAAAAUCUUGGUCCACUUACAUAUUUUUUGGGGUUGGAAGUACAUACCGAUUCCACAGGCUUAUUUUUGAACCAAUACAAAUAUAUCCAAGAGUUGAUCACUUUGGCUGGUCAUUAAGAUUAUUCUUCUAUCGAUACUCCUCUAAGAGUCAAUGUUAAAUAUCAUCGUGAUGAGGUCCAGCAAGUCAGUCAGUUUAUGCAAACUCCACAACAUCUUCAUCUUGGGGCCGUUCAUCGCAUCAUUCAGUAUCUCCGAGACAACACGAGUGCUAUUCAGAUUGCUGCAAAUCUAAUAUAUCAUGAGCGUACAAAGCAUAUCGAAGUGGAUUGUCACUUGAUUCGAGAGGCUUUUGACGCAAGUAUUAUUUCUCUUCCACAUAUUUCUACUGAUCUUCAAAUUGCCGACAUGAUGCUUUGUAUAUUAGUUGUAAUUGGUAGAAAAUUGCACAGUUUCCAUACAUGUACAGUGAUGGCUGACAUUCAGUCGUGUAAUUGCUUUAUUAUUCCUAUAUAUACAAAGGAACCUUCACAAUGAGGAUUAUCGAGUCAGAAGCAGAAAUUGAAUACCUUUGUCACCUACGAGAAUGACGUUAAUUCACUUUCUGUACCUUGUCAAGUAAAUUUAAAUAAUAUUACACGUGGAGUUGUUGGGUUUUGGGCUAAAAUGGAUGUAGUGGAGUCUUUUAUUUAUUGUUUGUUAAACUAUCAUAAUCAUUGGCGAAACAACUUCUCUUUUUGGAAAGUCUAGGCUCCAGGGGAUCCAAUUAAUGGAUUCGGUUUUCUUUUCUGUUAAUUCUUAUCAUUUAGGGUCUUAGAAAAUCAAUUCAGAAUCUCUUUGUUGGAGUAUGAGUACUAGGCGCUUAAUAACUUAAUAACUGAUAAAAUUGUUGAAGAUAUGGAAAAAUUGUAAAGAAUAAUUUCUAUUAUAUUUUCCCAAUUACGUGGAAUUUUACUUAAUAGUUGAA